CCUAAGGGUGGCAGCAGUGGGGAAUAUUGGGCAAUGGGCGCAAGCCUGACCCAGCAACGCCGCUUGAAGGAAGAAGGCUUUCGGGUUGUAAACUUCUUUUCUCAGGGACGAAGAAAGUGACGGUACCUGAGGAAUAAGCCACGGCUAACUACGUGCCAGCAGCCGCGGUAAUACGUCGGUGGAAAGCGUUAUCCGGAUGUAUUGGGGGUAAAGGGCGUGUAGGCGGGAGGGCAAGUCAGAUGUGAAAACUCAGGGCUAAACCCUGAGCCUGCAGUUUAAACUGUGUUUCUUGAGUGCUGGAGAGGCAAUCGGAAUUCAGUGGGUAGCGGUGAAAUGCGUAGAUAUACGGAGGAACACCAGUGGCGAAGGCGGAUUGCUGGACAGUAACUGACGCUGAGGCGCGAAAGCGUGGGGAGCAAACAGGAUUAGAUACCAUGUAGUC
rnacentral:rRNA from 1 species